rnacentral:rRNA from 1 species
CCUACGGGGGGCUGCAGUGGGGAAUAUUGGACAAUGGGGGCAACCCUGAUCCAGCCAUGCCGCGUGUGUGAAGAAGGCCCUCGGGUUGUAAAGCACUUUCAGUGAGGAAGAACGCCUGGUGGUUAAUACCCAUCAGGAAAGACAUCACUCACAGAAGAAGCACCGGCUAACUCCGUGCCAGCAGCCGCGGUAAUACGGAGGGUGCGAGCGUUAAUCGGAAUUACUGGGCGUAAAGCGCGCGUAGGUGGCUUGAUAAGCCGGUUGUGAAAGCCCCGGGCUCCACCUGGGAACGGCAUCCGGAACUGUCAAGCUAGAGUGCAGGAGAGGAAGGUAGAAUUCCCGGUGUAGCGGUGAAAUGCGUAGAGAUCGGGAGGAAUACCAGUGGCGAAGGCGGCCUUCUGGACUGACACUGACACUGAGGUGCGAAAGCGUGGGUAGCAAACAGGAUUAGAUACCCCAGUAGUC